AAAAAAGUUAAAUCUUAAAACUAAAUGUAAAUUAAAAUGAAAACAUCUACUGCCCAUCUCUGGCUGUUUCCUUGAUAAACUUCUCUUUGGGGAAUGCCUGUGUUUGGCCUAGCACUGACACCACUGGGACACCACAUCCCGUAUCAGAGUGCCUGAGAUCAAGUCCCAGCUCCACUUCCAGUUCCAGCUUCCUGCUAAUAUGCACCCUGGGAGGCAGCAGCUCAGGUUGUUGGGUCCUUGCCACCCACAUGGACCCAGGUUGAAUUCCUGGCUCCUGGCUUCAGCUUGGCCCAGCUAUGGGAGUUGUACUUAGCCUAUUGUGUGUCCCUGUCUUUCAGAUCAAUGAAUAAAAAUAAUUUGGGGCCUGGCAUUCUAGUGUAGAAGGUUGAGCGGCUGCUUGUGAUUCCAGCGUCCCAUAUGGGUGCUGAUUUGUUUCCUGGCUGCAGCACCUCUGAUCCAGCCCCCUACUAAUGGCCUGAGAAAAUCAGUGGAAGAUGGCCCAAGUGCUUGGGCCCCAGAUACUCUCAUGAGAGACUUGGAAGAAGCUCCUGCUCCUGGCAUCAGCCUGGCCAUUGUUGAUUGUGACAGCCAUCUGGGGAGUAACCCAGUGGGUAGAUCUCUCUUUCUCUUCCUCUCUCCCUUACUUUGGACUUUCAAAUAAAUAAAUAUAUCAUAAAAGUAAAAAUUGUUUGGUUCACUGGUGUACCCCUAUCCCAAAAGGACCUUCAACCUCAGGCCAGCAGAGCUGCUGAUCUCCAUUUAUAUCCUACAUUUCUUCUAUUUACUGGUGAGAAUAUAAGCAUGGGUUCCUCUCCUUCCACUCCACAUCAGGUCCAACAGGGCUGCUGGUUUUCACAGCCUCACCCACCCUGGGAGCACUGUAAGCUCAGGGUGGGGAGGAAAGUGACACAGCUCCAGGCCAACACACCACCUUCUCCCACUCUUCUUUCCUGGGUGGUCACCAUUUCUCAAUCAAUUAGUUCUGUCUGUUUUUUGGUUGGUUGGUUUGUUUUUGGCUGCUUCCCAGAGGCCAUAAAGAUUGUUGAUUUUGUUUUGUUUCAUAGCUAUCGGACACAUUGCCAGGGAAAGCCAGACAUUCAUACCUCCUUCAGCACUGGACACAGCCUAGGAUAUGGCUGGGAUCAGGACCUCCCCUCCCAUCUCGAGUCCCAAGAGGUCUUCCAUAUUGGUAGGAAGAAGCAUAUCCCGGAGCUUAACAAAGUCACAGUGAUUUUCAUUUUCCACUGGUCAGAAAAACAACACAUCUACAACAUUCACUGUCAAUACCUGGUACUCAGUAAGCUUUCUCAAAAGAAUGCAAGAAUGGAAACCACAUUUAAAGGAAAGCCAACAUUAUCAUCUGAAUAACAGCAAUAAUUCUUUUAACAAUAUAACUGUGUUCCUACUAAUACAUACCAACUAUAUGAAGUUUAUUUCUAGAUUAGCAAAUUUUCUUUAAAUUCAAUACAUAAAUAAAAAAUAAAAAAUAGUAAAACA
rnacentral:lncRNA from 1 species